CCUUUCUUUCCUAUUCCCACAGGUUGGUGUGAGAUUUGAGAGCAAAUUAUUCAUCACUGACCUCAAUUGGGGCAAGGCAAUUAUCAAAUUCACAUCCAACAUACAUUUGAAAGUCAAAAGACAGACAACAAUUGGAAUGAGUAACUAAAUAAUAUUUAAUGUUAACAUUAUUAUUAGAAUGAAAAGAGAAAAUUGUGACAUCCGAAUGGUUUUCCAAAAAGCUGCUGGCAUUGAAGUAUAGUGGGCAAUUCAAUGGAAAAGGAGUAAAUAGAGUAAUAAUUUCCAAAAUAGUAGUAUGUUUGGGCACAAAAAGGCAACAUAGCAUUAUAUCUUAUCAAUUAUAUUAUUAAACGGGGAAAUGAUGUUAGGGAUGUCUCUCUGCAGGGAUUUAAGACCCCCCGCCCCCCCAAAUAUACUUUUGAUAGGUUGAGAGUUGUAGGCCACCUGUAGUGUCUCCUAGGGCCAUUCAUUCUGAACUGGUCAACUUUCCACUCUUCCUCAAGAGUCUGGCAAUGGCACCCCCUUCCCGGCCCCUACAUACUACAGAGUGAAUUUUCCAUUAAGAGCAAAUUGGCAUGAAAUGAUAUGCUGCAUAUGCUUCCAUCAGACUGACAACAUAUUAAACUUUGAAAAUUUUCAUGUAGCCUUAGGCAGCCUCUGUUGUAGCAAAGUGUGAGUGAAGGAGCCAUGAUAUACCAAGUCCCCCCCCCCGCCCCCCCGCCACAAGAAUAUACCCUCGUGAAUUUCAUGUGCUUAGGGACCCGCAACGGCCACCUUCCCCCAACCAUUCUGACAGCAUGAAAACCUAGUAGGGGCCGGCCCGUCAAUACCGGAAAUCUUAUUUGUAGAAUAGGGCAGACAAGCAGAGUGCAUGCAUACAAAGAAAUACCCAAGUAUGGCGUAGUCAAUAGAAAGAAGACAGGGUUAUAAUUUCAAACCAUGGAGCAGAAAGUAGAGACCGUGAACUGUCUUUGUUAAGACUGUUAUCAUUGGAUCUUGUAAAGGGGGGUUGUGAAAGAAAAAGGUGGAGUAUAUGCGGUUGGAGUGUGUAGACUGGGGAGAUUAUUACCAGAUAUGUGCGCAAAUCUACACUUCCUUUUCUAACUAUUUUUAACUCAAACUUUUUUUUUUAGAAACCAGAAUAGAAAGGCAGAAGUUAAAACCCAAAAUACAAAGCACACAGACUGUUGGAGUGGCACCACAGAAUAUGUGACUCUGUUUUGACUAUACCGCCCAAAGCUUCCCCUUUAAAUUCUCGUCUGCCAUUCGUUUCCUUGGGCUCUUCUACACCUCGCCUUUACACCCACAAGCUCUCUCUCUCUCUCUCUCUCUCUCUCUCUAUCUCACACAAAUACCAAAAAAAAAAAGAAGGAAAACAGAUACACAACAUAUUCUCAAGAGAUGGGGUCACCAGUUUGUGCCUUUCUCAAACAAAACAACAUUAUAUUCCUUCGAUUUUUUGCUAUUCUGGUGUUGAGCUGUAUCCCUGAUGGAACCAACCUCUGUUCUAACCCCUCUUUUGACACCCCAACCAUUCCACCUCAUUCAAGCUCCUCCAGCAUUCCCUCCUCUUUGAAAACACUUACUCUGGAUGGCUACUUCAGUUUUGAGAACCUCAAACAUGCUGCAAAAGACUUCGGUAACAUAUGCCACUACCUCCCCAUAGCAGUUCUACACCCAAAAUCAGUUUCUGAUAUUUCUUCCACAAUUAAACACAUCCUGUAUAUGAGUUCAGUAACAAAGUUAACAGUAGCAGCUAGAGGCCGUGGUCACUCCCUACAAGGUCAGGCACAAGCCUAUCAAGGUGUGGUUAUCAAUAUGGAAUCACUUGAUCGACCAAGCAUGUAUAUUGAAAAUGGUGAGGUGCCUUAUGUGGAUGUUUCGGGCAGUGAGUUAUGGAUAAACAUCCUGCAUGAGACUCUUAAAUAUGGACUUUCACCAAAGUCUUGGACAGACUACCUUCACCUAACUGUAGGAGGUACUUUAUCAAAUGCCGGAAUAAGUGGUCAAGCAUUUCGGCAUGGACCCCAGAUUGAUAACGUUUACCAACUAGAGGUUGUGACAGGUACGUUUAAGGAAAUAACUUUUUUUGAACUCCUACAGACAAUUUUUUACAGGGUUGGCUGAAGUAACAGCUUAGUCAUUUUGUGGAAAAGGCAUGGUAAGGUAGUUAGUUCAUUUUAUUUUAGGCGAAAUGACAUAUGCUACUUUUCAGAGCAGGUUCCAGCAAAAUUUAAAUCAAACAGUAGAAGGAACAUGCGGUUUUCAAUAAAAUAAUGAACUCAAGUAAUAUGGAAACAAUGGAAUCUAACUUGGGGAUUUUAAUGCAGGAAGAGGAGAAGUAGUUACCUGUUCAGAUAAGGAGAACGCUGAUCUUUUUUAUGGUGUUCUUGGGGGACUAGGGCAAUUUGGCAUCAUCACCCGGGCUCGAAUAUCUCUUGGACCAG
rnacentral:lncRNA from 1 species